rnacentral:lncRNA from 1 species
UUUUAUAUAGUGUAGAUUGUAUCUAUUAUAUUAUACUUUAAUUUUAAAAUAUUAAUAAUUAAAAAUGUAUUUAGUGGAUGUUAUAUAUUAAUAGACUAGAUGCAUUUAAUAUUCUAAUUGUUGAAGUGAGAGAGUUGGGGUGUAACUUGUGCUUAUGUGACUCAACUCUCCUUUAAUGUAGAAAGUACACUACAACAAAAUGGUCUAUAGCAACACUUUUAAAUAUCGGUAUAGGUUAAAAAAAGUGCUGCUGGCUAAAUUACCGACACUUUUAAAAAGUGUUGCUAUAUGUGGGGCCACUAGAUAUAUAGUGACAGUUAAGAAUGUCGCUAUAAUCUAAAAAAGUGCUGCUAAUUUAGCAACACUUAUUUAAGCAUCUAGCAACCGCCGGAACUCUAUCUCGUUGACUGCGGUGGCGGAGGAGGACGAGAGGGAAGGGCCCUCCGUCUAGAAUUUCAGUGGAUUGAGAGAGAGAAAAAAGGGAGAUGGUAAUCGAUUUGGAAUCGGGCCAAAUGGGCUGGGUUGGGUGGGUUGAGUAUAGUAACCUUUUAUUUUUUGUUGGAUUCGGCUUUAUAUUUAGGCAUUAGUAGAUAUUUUUUUAAAUUUUGACAUAAAUGAGACACUUAGACAAAAGUGUCCUAAACAUGUGUCAUUAUAACUUAAUUCUGUUGUAGUGGUACCGUAUCGGUACUCCAAGCUGCAUAUCGGUACACAAUAAAAAUGGGCAACUACUUAUAUACUCCUGAAAAGUUCCUCAUUUUUCGAUUUACCCCUCUUAGAAGGCUAAUAUUGAAAAUACUCUUUCUACGUUCCAACCUAUUUCUAAUAUACCCCUAGCCACCGUUUGGUUCGAGAUUAAGUAAAAAUUUGUUAUUUCAGAGAUAGAAGGUUCAGGGUUAAGGUGGGGUUAGAAUAAUUUUGUGUUUGGUUGAGAAUUGGGUUUAGUCCAGAUAUAUGUAAAAUAAUAUUUGAUUGGAGUAGGUGGGAUAAGAAGGAUAAUGAGUAAAAUAGUAUUUUAUUUGGUUGGAGUAGUGGGGUAGGAUGGGGCCUCUCAAAUUGGGUGUUUGAAAAUAACUUCGGGGUUAAAGGGUUAUUCCACCCCUUAACCCCCAACCAAACGGGUGCCUAGAGUUAAAAUCUGUUAAUUAACUCUGUUAUAUUUGUAAAAUUACUAUUUUGCCCUUUCAAAUAUACCCUUCCAUUAUCACUGAUUUUCUUAUUUGCCCUUAAAGUCAGGGGCAUAAAAAUAUUUUGACUUUUGAUCUUUUCCAAUAUCCCCUCUACUGUUACCAACAUUUCUUAUUUGCCCUUAAGUUAAGGGCAAAAUUGGUAUUUUAAUUUUUUUUUAACUGAGUUAGAUAUUUAACUCAUGUUUAACCCUAGUUAACUUAACAGGAGAUAACUGCGGUGGUAUUUUUCAAUAAUGGUGGAACAUAUGAGGGAUAUAUUUAGUAGGGAUAAAUCAGAUAUCUUUAAACAUAUGAGGGGUAUAUAGGCAAUUAUUCCCAAUAAAGAAAAUAAUUUUUCAAGUU